GAUGAACGCUGACAGAAUGCUUAACACAUGCAAGUCAACCUGAGCUUCGGUUUGGGUGGCGGACGGGUGAGUAACGCGUAAAGAACUUGCCUCACAGAUAGGGACAACAUUUGGAAACGAAUGCUAAUACCUGAUAUUAUGAUUUUAGGGCAUCCUAGAAUUAUGAAAGCUAUAUGCGCUGUGAGAGAGCUUUGCGUCCCAUUAGCUAGUUGGAGAGGUAACGGCUCACCAAGGCGAUGAUGGGUAGCCGGCCUGAGAGGGUGAACCGCCCCCAGGGGACUGAAAAACGGCCCUUCUCCUUCCGGAGGGAGGCUUGGGGGAUAUUGGACCAUGGGACAAGAGUCUUGAUCCACCAAUUCGGGGGGCCCGAGGAAGUUUUCGGGAAGGAAAAGGCUUCCGGUGGGGAAGAAAAAAAGAAGGUCCCAACGAAGAGUUACGGCUAAUUCGUCCCAGCGCCCGCGGUAAACGUGUGUCAAAGCGUUUCCGGGUUUAUUGGGGGAAAGCCCCCUAGGUGUUAAUAGUUCUGAUGUGAAAAUGCAGGCUCAACUCUGUAUGCGUGAAACUGUGUAACAGGGUCUGAGGGGAAGCGAACUACAAGUGUAGAGUGAAAUCGCAAAAUUCGAGAAUGCGAGUGGAAGCAGUUACUGACAGAUCUGACCUGACCCUAACCGUGGAGCAACAGAUAGAUCCUAGAGUCAAGGCGAUUCACAUGGGUGCGCGGGGAUCAAUAGUCUAAGCGCGCCCGGAGCUCCAUUGCCUAUAUAGACAUAUACGCGGCUAUGCGUUGUACACG
rnacentral:rRNA from 1 species